rnacentral:lncRNA from 1 species
CUGAAUUCUGUUUUUAUUAUAAUUGUUUCUUCUUUACUCUUCUAUGCUUAAGGGAUCUGCUCAUAUAAAUGACUACAGGAUAAAUAAAGCUGACAAACACAAGUGACUGUAUCUUUUGGCAUUAAGAUAAUUAUAGAUCAUUACACGGUAGGAAUAGUCAAUAGCCCUAAAGUAAUAUGAUUAAAUAAAGCACUUUAAAACUGUAAUUCACCUAGCCUUUUUAAUAUUUUACUAUUUCUUCUUUGUUGCUCUAAAGCUAUGAAUUUUAAGAUUUAUUUGUCACUACUCUCUAUAUUUUCUGCUGUACACAGUAUUUGUGGGCUAUGGCAACCAAUCCCCUUGGGCUUUCUUUUGCUUUAAUUUGCAUAAACACAGGCAUCAUAUGAAUAUUCAGUGAGUGGCUUUGCAUUAAGUAAGUGCCCUUAAUCAGCUUUUCAGUUCAGUUUUAUUGGUUGCACGCACAGUCAGUUAUUUCAUCCAGAAAAUCUGAAGGCCCUACAAACUAACCAGAGGUCCCAAGUUGUCUCCAGUCUCUUCAUUGUGUUUUGUGUGAAACCCAUCACAGAACGGGAAAUUUUGGGACCUCCAACAACGGCAGUACACACCUUUCCAAGUCCUCCAUGUCAAAAGCAGGUACUCUCUUGGGGCUGUCUUUCUGGAUGUGAAGGUUUUUACCAUAGAUUUGUCCUGAUGAUCUUUAACAUAAAAUCUUUUGUAGGCUACAUAAUGAAUCGUAGUUAUCUCAACAGCAAUGGUAGCUGCCACAGUGUAUUCAACUCGUACCUUGAAGUCAGACUCACGGCGCCAUUGCUUGCAAGGCAUGUGCACAGGACACUAGGCACAAACAGGCUUUCAAGGAGGGCCUGAGUAAAGAUGAGAGAAACAUCAUACGUGCCCGAACUCCAGACCACUAAGGUGCAGGG